AGAUCAUCCUCAGGUAAUGCCCAUUGACUUAGCUCUUCUUCACCAACUGGAACUUUAUCCAUCUCAUAAGAUCGAUAUGCAAUAGCUAUACAGCGUAAACUGCUAGCUGCCAUAUCUUCAAUAGCUUUCUUAAAAAAUAAAACCUUUGCAUCAUCCAUUGCUAUGAUGUUAUCAUUUCCAUCAAUGUAAGCUGUACAUGAGGCUAAGACUAUUUCAGCAGCCCCCUUCCAGUGUAUAUGGACUUCAGAAUCGGGCAAUUGUAGCGCCACACCGCCUCUUUUCUUCGCCGAGUUAAAUGGGAAAACAUGAAGAACAGUUGAUUCUGAUUUGACAGCAUCAAAAUUCAUGCCCAGCUUGACUCCCCAAACAAGAAUGGCUUUUUCUGUUGGCGAUCCAGAAACCUCUAGGUCUCCUCCACCCUCAGGAAUAAAAACACUGCCAUUUGUAUUUUGUGCAAUGCCUUCAAUAAGUAAAGAGGACAGCAUAGGAGACAAUUGUGACUUGUUUUCUGAAGGAUCAAUUUUUUUACCACCAACAAAAGCCUCAACAACAGUCAUCUGAUUCAGGGUUAAA
rnacentral:misc_RNA from 1 species